AGGACGAACGCUGGCGGCGUGCUUAACACAUGCAAGUCGAGCGGAAAGGCCCUUCGGGGUACUCGAGCGGCGAACGGGUGAGUAACACGUGAGUAACCUGCCCCUAGCUCUGGGAUAGCUCCGGGAAACCGGGAUUAAUACCAGAUACGACCACUUUAGACAUCUGUCGUGGUGGAAAGGAUUCCGGCUAGGGAUGGGCUCGCGGCCUAUCAGCUUGUUGGUGGGGUAACGGCCUACCAAGGCGACGACGGGUAGCCGGCCUGAGAGGGCGACCGGCCACACUGGGACUGAGACACGGCCCAGACUCCUACGGGAGGCAGCAGUGGGGAAUAUUGCGCAAUGGGCGAAAGCCUGACGCAGCGACGCCGCGUGGGGGAUGAAGGCCUUCGGGUUGUAAACCCGUUUCAGCAGGACGAAGCGAAAGUGACGGUACCUGCAGAAGAAGCGCCGGCUAACUACGCGCCAGCAGCCGC
rnacentral:rRNA from 1 species